rnacentral:misc_RNA from 1 species
UGGUUCUAGCAUNGAUGAAGAACGCAGCGAAAUGCGAUAAGUAAUGUGAAUUGCAGAAUUCAGUGAAUCAUCGAAUCUUUGAACGCACAUUGCGCCCUUUGGUAUUCCGAAGGGCAUGCCUGUUCGAGCGUCAUUACAACCCUCAAGCUCUGCUUGGUAUUAGGCCCUGCUAAACAGCAGGCCGUAAAAUCAGUGGCGGAAGCUAUCGGCUCCAAGCGUAGUAAAAUAUUUCGUUUUGGAGAACCGGUUGCAACCUGCUAACCUGCUACUUUUUACAGGUUGACCUCGGAUCAGGUAGGGAUACCCGCUGA